rnacentral:rRNA from 1 species
GAUGAACGCUGGCGGCGUGCCUAAUACAUGCAAGUCGAGCGAACGGACGAGAAGCUUGCUUCUCUGAUGUUAGCGGCGGACGGGUGAGUAACACGUGGAUAACCUACCUAUAAGACUGGGAUAACUUCGGGAAACCGGAGCUAAUACCGGAUGAUAUUUUGAACCGCAUGGUUCAAAAGUGAAAGACGGUCUUGCUGUCACUUAUAGAUGGAUCCGCGCUGCAUUAGCUAGUUGGUAAGGUAACGGCUUACCAAGGCAACGAUGCAUAGCCGACCUGAGAGGGUGAUCGGCCACACUGGAACUGAGACACGGUCCAGACUCCUACGGGAGGCAGCAGUAGGGAAUCUUCCUCAAUGGGCGAAAGCCUGACGGAGCAACGCCGCGUGAGUGAUGAAGGUCUUCGGAUCGUAAAACUCUGUUAUUAGGGAAGAACAUAUGUGUAAGUAACUGUGCACAUCUUGACGGUACCUAAUCAGAAAGCCACGGCUAACUACGUG